rnacentral:rRNA from 1 species
CCUACGGGAGGCAGCAGUGAGGAAUAUUGGUCAAUGGGCGUAAGCCUGAACCAGCCAAGUCGCGUGAGGGAUGAAGGUUCUAUGGAUCGUAAACCUCUUUUAUAAGGGAAUAAAGUGUGGGACGUGUCCUGUUUUGUAUGUACCUUAUGAAUAAGGAUCGGCUAACUCCGUGCCAGCAGCCGCGGUAAUACGGAGGAUUCGAGCGUUAUCCGGAUUUAUUGGGUUUAAAGGGUGCGUAGGCGGCCUUUUAAGUCAGCGGUGAAAGUCUGUGGCUCAACCAUAGAAUUGCCGUUGAAACUGGGAGGCUUGAGAAUGUUUGAGGUAGGCGGAAUGCGUGGUGUAGCGGUGAAAUGCUUAGAUAUCACGCAGAACCCCGAUUGCGAAGGCAGCCUGCCAAGCCAUGACUGACGCUGAGGCACGAAAGCGUGGGGAUCAAACAGGAUUAGAUACCCGAGUAGUC